rnacentral:rRNA from 1 species
GACGAACGCUGGCGGCGUGCUUAACACAUGCAAGUCGAACGGAAAGGCCUCUUUCGGGGGGUACUCGAGUGGCGAACGGGUGAGUAACACGUGAGUAACCUGCCCUUGACUUUGGGAUAACUUCAGGAAACUGGGGCUAAUACCGGAUAGGAGCUCCUGCUGCAUGGUGGGGGUUGGAAAGUUUCGGCGGUUGGGGAUGGACUCGCGGCUUAUCAGCUUGUUGGUGGGGUAGUGGCUUACCAAGGCUUUGACGGGUAGCCGGCCUGAGAGGGUGACCGGCCACAUUGGGACUGAGAUACGGCCCAGACUCCUACGGGAGGCAGCUGUGGGGAAUAUUGCACAAUGGGUGGAAGCCUGAUGCAGCAACGCCGUGUGCGGGAUGACGGCCUUCGGGUUGUAAACCGCUUUCGCUCAUGACGAAGCUUUGUGUGACGGUAGUGGGUAAAGAAGCACCGGCUAACUACGUG